AUUGAACGCUGGCGGCAUGCCUUACACAUGCAAGUCGAACGGUAACAGGUCUUCGGAUGCUGACGAGUGGCGAACGGGUGAGUAAUAUAUCGGAACGUGCCCAGUCGUGGGGGAUAACGCAGUGAAAGCUGUGCUAAUACCGCAUACGAUCUAUGGAUGAAAGCGGGGGAUCGCAAGACCUCGCGCGAUUGGAGCGGCCG
rnacentral:rRNA from 1 species